rnacentral:rRNA from 1 species
AGUGAACGCUGGCGGUAGGCCUAACACAUGCAAGUCGAGCGGCAGCACAGUAAGAGCUUGCUCUUACGGGUGGCGAGUGGCGGACGGGUGAGGAAUACAUCGGAAUCUACUUUUUCGUGGGGGAUAACGUAGGGAAACUUACGCUAAUACCGCAUACGACCUACGGGUGAAAGCAGGGGAUCUUCGGACCUUGCGCGAUUGAAUGAGCCGAUGUCGGAUUAGCUAGUUGGCGGGGUAAAGGCCCACCAAGGCGACGAUCCGUAGCUGGUCUGAGAGGAUGAUGAGCCACACUGAAACUGAGACACGGUCCAGACUCCUACGGGAGGCAGCAGUGGGGAAUAUUGGAAAAUGGGCGCAAGCCUGCUCCAGCCAUACCGCGUGGGUGAAGAAGGCCUUCGGGUUGUAAAGCCCUUUUGUUGGGAAAGAAAAGCAGCAGGCUAAUACCCCGCUGUUCUGACGGUACCAAAAGAAUAAGCACCGGCUAACUUCGU